AGACUCUCCAAGGUGUUAACACCUGCCGCCAGCCCACGGGAGGCAGGUAAGGAUGGCAACAUGCACAUCCAGUUGUGGGGCAGUGCUUUUGCUGCUGGUCAUGUAACUUGCAACUUCAUGCUAGUAGCCUGUGAUAUGAAAGGAGGCACCCCUAGCAUGCUACAUUUAUUUUACUGCCUGCAGCCUUGGUAAGGGAGUGACCAUGAGCAUAAGGAGGAAAUGCUGAUAAAUUCGAUAGAGUUAAGCUAAAGUAGAUUCACUGUCCUCUAGAAAAUUCAUUUAAGUGCAGCUUCCAUUGCAUGCGAUUGCCAGGCCUACUUGCUUCACAUGGCUUUUUGCCUCUAUUUAACUAGGAGGCAGAUGGAUACUUAAGAUGAAAUAUCCAAAGCAGGAUGCACGCAAAAAUCACUGCCUCAUAAGAUUGGCACUUGAGCUGCUUGGGUGAGCAUCUUGCAAGAAAGGUUCACUCUUCUGUACAGUCAAAGACGACAGUGUUAACGGUGGAAGAUCAAUCUUUAUUUAGAAGGACAGAAAUCACCUCUGCCAACUUUUCCAUUACUAAUAGUUCUCCCAGCUGUUUCAGCUACAGGAUUAAUGACUCAUUUCCCAGCAGUUCAUUGAAAUGGCCUUCUGUACCCAGGUGAGCUCUCAUUUAAGCUGAUUAUUAAAAAAAGCAGCAGCCCUCACAGUAGAACAGAGAGGUUGAGGCUCUCUGAGCUCAGGCACUCAUGGAAAUAAGCAGAGAAGCAGAACUCUUUCCUGUUUUUUCAACUGGUUUAGCCCUGGGAGGAGACUUGUCACUUCAUGCUGAGAGAGGAGAAAAGAAUGAGCUAUCCAUCUCUUGCAGUGCUACAGCUGGUGGUGCUGCUGCUCCCUGAGGAGCCCCUGCCUGUAUUCCUCCUCCAUUUCAGGAUGCAGAAGUUGGGAGGAAGAAAGGGGAAAGCCGCUGUGUGUCUAACCUUGCAGAUCUGCAUUCACCCCUUCAGUGAGCUCAGCUUAGGAGUAUGAUGAAACUGACAUUGGAUGCGAGGUAGGAAUGGUGACAAUUCCUCCAGAGCCAGACUUUUACCUACUUCUUGUCCUGGACUGCUGUUGCAGUGACUGCUUAGAGCCUGGCUCUGGUGUUCUGCGCUGUCAGGAAGUUGCUGAUGAUCCCAGACACCACCUCGGGUUCAUUGAGGUGCACAAAAUGACUCCCAGGCACCUCUACCAGCUGGAUGUCCUAGAGGGAAAAGACAAAUAGAAAUAGCGCAGGAAAGUGUUCCUUCAGGCAAGCUGUGCUUGCUGUGUGGUACCUACUGGGAAGGAAGCCAGAGGAAACAAUGCAAAAAUGGUGUCUCAAAGAAAGGUUGGAUUUUACAUUGCUAUAGUUGACUGCAGAUACACCAGCCACUGACAAACCCAUCACAGAAAGAUGACAGUCCAACAGGGAGGCAGGACAGGGAUGGGAGUAACUGGGAAGAGCUAUAUCUGGAAGGCAGUACUGAUUAGGUCUUUGGCUGUAAGGGCAAAGCUUCCUUCCCUUCCAUCCCUCCAUGUGAGGACUGGGCUGUUUAGGACAAAUCCCCUGCUGUGGAUGUCCUCUAAGGUAAGGUAAUUCCUAGCUGCUUCCAGGUUGGUGCCCAGUGAAGUGGAUGGAGAUGCAAAGAUGGAGAUUGUGCUCACCUCUUUGAGGGUAUGCUCAAAUGCCUCCCGUAAGGAUUUCACAAACUGAUUUCUGCUCUCUAGCUUGUGUGGUACCAAGAGUCCAUCUUGUGCUCUGAAAAGUAAGAGCAAGGCUCAGUAAAGCACAUGGUGUGCCUCUCUGUGGCUGUCUCCUGGGCAGAAGCAGUGUCCCCAGGACAGAUUGGGAUGGCAGGCCCAGCUGCUCUGCAGGCUGCCAGUAAGCAGCACAGUUACAGGUUCAUGCAUGGUAGUCAGAGGAGCAAGGCACAGCUUGGCUAAGCAGCUAUUAUCUAUCAAGCUAUCUGUUUAAUACUUGGAGUACUGCCUAGUAGUAUCACAGGGAGACAGGUUAAAUAUUAUCCACCCAGGACUGGCUCCUUAACUUGUCUCAGUAUACAAUUCCCUGCCCUUACCCUAUCUUCUGCUCUUGGCUUUAUUCCUUUCAGCCAGCUUCUGCAUCUCACCUCUGUCCCUUUCCCUCCUCCAUACUGCUGCUUGAACGCUAUAAUCACAGUUCCUGCCCUACUUGGAGCAGGAGGCACCAGGGCUGCUCCCCUGAAGAAACCAGUGUUAGACUCCCUGUAGAAUUAAGAUUGUGCUGCAGGUACCUAGAUGAAGGGAUGUCUGAGGCUUAAGGGGAUGUGCUCUGUAUGGCCAGGAGGACCUGUCCUCACCAUGAUGUUGCAUUUUUCUGCUCUGGACAAAUAGGAAAAGUCAAAGAACAAUGCUCACAUGAUUUGAACAGCCUAGAGAAGCCAAAACUGAAUCUUAUUUCUCAGCUCCUAGCACCUCCUCAUUUCCCCUUGACAGCAUGGGCCAACAUCACCAGAACCUUGCACACCUUGACCUCUAAGGAGACAGCAAAAAACGCAGGAGGACAAACAGCACCCAAACCAGACAGAUGGCUGAUGGCUUGUGGGGCUCCAGGUAAAGACACUGGCUGCCUCCCCAGCAUCUCCUCCCUGCCCUGGGGCUAGGUCAGGCUCCAGAACCAGCUGGAACAGGUGAAGGCUGCAGUGGCUUCACUGUUUGUACAGCACGAGGAGGAGAGGGCAGGUGGGUUACUGCUGAAGGAAGAGGCCACAAGGGAAGUAUGCAGGAAUGAUGAUGGAAAGGCUCACGUGUCUGCCAGGAUGUUCCCUUUGCUCAAAGCCAAGGGAUGAACAGAUGGGGAGGAGCCCUUCUAGCCAUCGCCCCUUCACACAGGGUGGCAGUGAAGGCUGGUUUUACUUGUGCCUCACUCACAAAAUGAUGAGAACGCGGUCCUUGAUCUUCUGCAGGAGCUUCACACACUGUUCCACCGUGAGGUACUCUCGACUCUGCUGCAGGUGCAAAAACAGAGCAACAAAAGUCAGGGACAGCAGCUGAGGAUAGAGGGUGUCCUCAAGCCCUGUGCGGGAGAGGCUGAGGCCCCACGGCUGCUGUGCUGAGACAGGACAGGCUGCCAGGCUGCACACAAGAGCGCCUGGCUCUGCAACUGCUCCUUCUAUCCAGAUGUGUUUCAGGGCUGCCAACAGCACUGCCUGCUGGGUUGCAGCACAUAUGGGAAUGAUCUCACAGCAGAGAAAAUGCUUUAAAAAGUCCUUUUACUAAAAAGGAGAUAAUACAAUACUCUAGUUUUCAUAGCCUGGCAGUAGCACAGGUAGAGGACGCCCUCCUUAGACAAUAGUGGCACAAUGCUAUCAACAUAUCAGAUGCAAAGACUUUGUUCCACUCCCUCCCCCUUUCCUGUAAGGGUGACCUGACAAAAAAGCUGACCUAAAACAUCCAUCCAUCUGCUGCCUUAAGAGUUACAACAGCAGGAAAAUGUGGCCAGGAGGCCCUGGGGCUCAGGAACUGCUAAAAAAUUCAGUAACAUUUUCCAGUGACUCUAAGCUGAGUCAGUUAAUGAUCAAGUGCAGGCUCUUUUAAAAGCACCAUUUAAAAGAGGUGUGGGAAUUAGGGAAGCACUAAGUAAACGGUUGGGUGGAGGGAGGGCCUGGGCUCAGUGAGUGGGCCUCCGCUACCUCUGUUUUCUGUAAGCUCAGGGCUCAGAAGCAGCAGGGGGCAAGUCAGAACAGCAAUGCUCACCGUACGGACUCUCAUGUCUCUGUUAUACACCAGCCCUGCAAGGAAAACAAGAGAAGGCUUUCAUGUCUCAUAGAAACAGGAGUUGCUCUGCCCCUCGCCUCUGGGGUCUGCCCAAGACUUCUUGAGAGCCUGGAGGAGACAUGGCAGAGACAUUGUGCUGCUGAAAAAAGGAGGAAGCGAAGCGAAAACGGCAUGACAAGGUGACAGCAAGCUCUCAGGCUGCUUCAGAGAAGAGCAGGAAGCUGACUGCAGAAGCAAAAAGUCUUGCUGAGAUACCAGAAGAGAACUUGAAUGGGCAGAACCGUGACAGUUUCCCGUUAUGGUUCAUGUAGCCAUAACUGCCCAAGGUAAAGACGGGCAGCAAAUGAAGAGACAGCUGGGAACCCACCUCUGCAAUGCUGCUUCAGGGCUACGUGCUUUGGGAGCUUGCUGCUUUGCUUCUAGACUCAGUAAUCUAUCGAUAGCCAGCCGCUUUGAUUUCAGCCAUGCCUCAGUGUCCUAAAACAAAGAGAUGUACAGCGCAGGAAUAACCUCCCUCUUCUGAGUCACGUUAUGCCUUAUCAGAGGGUAGAAGAGGGUAUUUUACCCGUCAGCAUCUCUCAGAGCUAGUACCAGUUAUGGACAUAUUAAAAAUGCCCACUUCUCAAGGAAAGAGAACAGCAAUACAUAAGAGGCAAGAUAGGAGCAGAAAACUAAGCACUGUUGUAUAGAAAUUUUAACUUUUCACCCUCAUAAUCUCUUUUACCUCCUCCCACUUCACUUUUGAAUUGAAGACAACCCUCUAAAAAAACAAGGUAAAUCUAGGAUCUUUUGCCUCUCUGACCCUGGGCUUCCAUCCCACUUCUGUCUACCAAACCCCCAGCACCUGGUACUGAUAAUGGCAGUCUGGGAAUGUAGCUUUAUGUCCUGCCAGGAGCAGAAAAAAUCUGCCAGCCUUGCGCUCGGGUCACCCAACAAGCUGUUGGCAAGAAAACAGCCUUGGCAAGCAGUUAGCUGCUUGGACAGAGGUUCCAAUUCCUUUUGCACAUGGGCACGGCAUAGACAAGUGAAUUUCAGUGCUACAGGACUGCAGGAUGCUCCCCAAGGGCCACCCUAAACAGGGUCUUACUUCACGCAACAGGGAGCACAUCUGUGCUUGCCAAAGAAGUUUCGAGAAUGGUGUGACCUGCCAGGAACUGGGCACAUCAGUGUUUUCUUUGAACAAGCGAGGGGAAGACAAAAACAUUUCUUUCUAUUUUAAAAAAGGGAAGGACACAUGAAGUCUAACCUCUGGAGCUAGUAGAAAGCCAAGAUUUUCCAGCAAGAUCAGCUUGUCCACCAUCUCAGGAUAAAUGAAAGCAAACUGAAGAAAGAUGAAACAUUAUGAGACAAAGAGAAAAGCUGCGCAUUGAGUGCUGUUUUCAUCCUGCCGUACAGAAAAGGGGGUUAGAAAAGGGCCUCUCCUUCCCCAGGAUCCAAGACCCAUACAGUGUUUCUUCAUUCCUCUCCCAUUUGUUGUUCCACCUGCAAAAGUCACAAACCCCAUGAAGAAAGUAUGCUCUACUCACCAUUCCUGCCACAGACCCACCUGUAAAGGAAAAGAGGGUGCUCAGUUAUGCAUGGGACACCCCUUGGUAACAGGAGCACCCAUUCCCCAAAGCAGGAACUGUCUUAGAAGCACAGAUGCAUGCUUGUACCAAGGGACAACGCCCAAGCUACACAGUAAAGCACUCUCAGCAGAGAGAAUGCAAGCAGAGACCAGGACUGGUAAGCUGGACUCUGCGUCCUGCCCUAUCUCCCCCUCAGGCAGCAAAGGAAGAGUUAUCAGUUAAAACACUACGGUGUGCAGGUACUGUGAGCUGUGUCCAGAAAAGCCCUGGGCAAGAAAGGCAAGGCCAUAAAGCCUGGGGAGAGCAGGAAGGCCUGCUGCGAAUAUUCCUGCCUUAGAGCAUCGCUCUUUGUUCAUUACGGUUCCCUCCCGGGGGCUCAGGAAAUGCCCACAGGGACAGUCAGCGCUGUUUGUAUUACAGCGUUGUGAAAACAGAAGCAUUUUAAGCAAGGAUGUAGAUUUUUGAAUCGCUCAAGCAAGAACGUGGUACUUGACACAAUAUAAUAAAUAUUCCAACCCAGCUUCUAGCAGCAUGCUUUGUAAAUUAAUUAUCUACUCAUAUUUCCGUGAAUCUCACAGCUUACAAGGAAAAGAGCCACUUACCCAUACUGUGACCCAUCAGGGUGAACCGUCUCCACCGCAAUGCUAAAUGGCAACAGACAAAAACAGACAGUGAUGCAUUAGAAACCAGAGCUGCGGCAUCUUGCUGCUCCCCCACCAACACAGGCCCCUUCUCCCAAGAGGGCUUCUGCAAUGCUUAAUUUGCUUCCUAAUCCAGAAAUGAGGUGGCUAAGUAGGCCCAUUUUAAAGAAGAAGAACAUCCACCACCUCAUUUCUUUGGUAGUUAUCUCACACAGCUCUCACUCUGC
rnacentral:lncRNA from 1 species